AUCCGGUGGUAUAUUCCCCUUAGGAAAUCAAAAACUUGCUUCAACGGAUUGAUGAAGGAAAUUGUGCUACCGGCGGCCUCAACCCUUUGGCUAAGGUUUUUGGUAUUGCAGGCUGCAUUAAGUUUUUGGAGUCAUAUUAUUUGAUUUUGGUUACCAAGCGAAGACAAAUUGGAUGUAUAUGCGGUCAUGCAAUAUACAGUAUAGAUGAGAGCCAAUUGAUUACGAUUCCUCAUGUCUCUAUUCAAUCAGAUGUGGCGCAUUCGAAAACCAAACUCAGGUACAAAAAGCUAUUAUCCAGUGUAGAUUUGACCGAAGAUUUUUUCUUUAGCUAUACAUAUCCCAUCAUGCAAAGUUUGCAAAAGAAUGUGUUGUCAAUGGGUGAGGAAGGUAUGCCUUAUGAUAACAUAUUUGUGUGGAAUGCAUAUCUAACGCAAGCCAUUAGAUCGAGGUGCAAUAACACUAUUUGGAAGAUAGCAUUAGUUCAUGGCCAUUUUAGGUAGGUAUGUGGUUCUGUCAAAUGGUUAUAUGUCUAUUGAUAUAAUUUUAAUUUUCCACUUUAGAUGAUAAUGAAGAAAGUAGAUUUAUUAGAAUUAAAAUGAAAUUACAAAUAUAGUGAACCAACAGUCCACUAGA